AAACCCAGUUUUCAACAAAGUAUGGUUCAUCGCAUUUCACCAAAAACGGAAUCAAAGAACAAAGCCGCAUCAGAAUUUUCAAUAAAUUUUUGAAGUCUUCUCAAAGAGAAUCCAAACCCGGUUUCAUCACAUUUCACCAAAACCACCGCGCAGUGACGACAACGAAGCCGGUGGCCUGUUGGCGCCUUUUCCAGCUGUUGGCGCUUCGUUCUUGCUAUAUUUGGCAUCGACAAGGGCGGCGGAGGAGUAGAAGGCAACGCCGGUGGAGGUAACAGUUGUGAAACCGGAGGAGGUGAAGAAGAUUGAGGAGGAAGUGAUUACUUCGAGGAUUUACGAUGCGACGCCAUUGGUGAACCGUUGGCGAUUGGGAAAGAGAAAGGGAAAAUGUGGGAGAAGUUGAUGAAUGCUAGGGUUGUUUAAGCUGAACAGGAUCCGGUUCGAGAUGAUAAGGAUUUGGAGCUUAAGAUUGUCAAGAAUUUGCAUAAGCGUUGUGUUGAGAUUGAUAAGCGUUUAUCUUUGGCUGUUGAAGCUUUUCCCUCUGAUCUUCAGGAACCACUCAAUCAGUAUAUUGAUAAAAUGGAAUUUGUCUUGUUACUUGUGGUACUCCACUGUAGGUGUGUUCAAAUUUUCAUUCAUAGUGAUGUAUAUCGUUAAGAAAAAGCUAGUGUAUGAAAUAUAAAUAGAGCUCGCAUUUGAUGUUUUACUAAAGUAUUGGUUUUUGAUAUAGUUGUUUGUUCUUAGUAGAUCUUUGUAAUUAAUUCCACUAAGUAGGAUCAAGCUCAGUUCUUGUAUCUCUAUGUCAAGUUCCACAAAGAUGAUGUUUAUAAAUUGACAAUUUUCUCAUCAACGGAUAUUAAGCACUGUCCAAGCAGAAGGAGUUAGUGGGCUAACAAAGGCUGAACGUAAUUUAUAUGCACCUCCUGCUGGUUCAGGCUUCAUAUCUAUCUACACGGGUUAGAGUAGUUGACGAGUAUACUAUGUCACAUACCCUGUAGAGAAAUUGCUUUGACCGGGUUGAGAUUGCUCGGGUUAUGAAUGUUGCCAGACAGCGGCGGGAUGCCCUCCCACAGGUUUUGUAUGGUUUAUUCUUUCAUUAAAGAAGAGAUACUACAAGUAUCAAUUUGGACAGUAUGCAUGGACACAUAUGAUACUUAUCAUUGUGUUUACACAGUCGGCAUUCAUGGUAGCUAAUAUAUUUCAAGGAAUUUUCUAGUAAUGUUACUUCUGAUACAUGCUAAUUUAUUCUUUUAGUGUUAACUUUGUUCUUUCUUCAUGUUUUCAUAAAAUGUUACCUCUGUAUUGAAGGUUUAUUUUCCCUGCACUUCUUAUUGCUAUGAAUGAUGCUGCUGCAUAUUUCUUUGGUUUCUUUUUCGGGAAAACACCUCUAAUCAAGUUAUCUCCAAAGAAAACAUUGGAAGGUUUUAUUGGAGUGUCUGUUGCGAAUAUGAUUGCUGCAUUUACAAUAAGAAUUGACUAGUAAAGCAAACUAUUUGAUAGGAAAUUGCAAUAACAAACUUAGAAGUAAUUGAUUUAUCAUUAUUUGUGCAGUUUGCCAACUUUUUGGGUCGGUUUCAGUGGCUAACAUGUCCGAGGAAGGAUUUAUCAACUGGUUGGCUUGAAUGUGACCCUGAUCCAAUUUUUAAGCCAGAUUACAUUCCAAUGCCAGGACUUGUUCCUCAUGGGGUUAUAAUAGAACUACCUUAUGCUUUUCUCCAAGCUAUAUCACAUGGUGUAAUAGUUUAUGCCAUGAUUGGAUUUGACUGGACUCUAGAGAAAUUCUUUUGGUACAUAUUUUUCAUGUACUUCACAUUGUGCUACUUCACCUUCUAUUGAAUGAUGGCUGUAGCAAUCACCAUGUCGUGUCAAUCGAGGCUUCUGCAUUUUACGCAAUUUGGAAUCUUUUCAGGAUUCUUCGUUCCACGACCUAUGAUUCCGGUGUGGUGGAGAUGGUACUAUUGGGCAUGUCAUGUGGCUUGGACAAUAUAUGGAUUGAUAGCAUCGCAAUUUGGAGAUAUAAACAUCAUGAUGGAAUCAGAAAAUGAAACAAUUGAAGAAUUCAUAAGAGGUUACUUUGGUAUCAAGCAUGACAUGAUAGGUGUUUGUGCAGUUGUUGUUGUUGGGACUGGAGUGUUGUUUGCAUGUAUUUUUGCUGUCUCAAUCAAGCUCUUCAACUUCAUCGUUUCUCUUUUCUCUGAUGUCUUCAUUUUUCUGCUUUGCUCCCUCGCCAUUCUCGGUUUUCUCUUCCGUCAAAUGACCAUUCAGCUCAGAAUCUGGAAUGUGAGCGGUGAACAAGCUUCGAAGCUGAGGGAGUUGGAAAUACAGUAUGAAGAUGAGAAUCGUAGGGUUCUUGCUUUGUAUUCUAAAGAGGUUUUGAUGAAUAAAGAUGAAGUUGCGGAGGAUGACAAUGAUGGUGACAGGGAGCACGUAGUGGAAGAAAUGCAAAUGCUUGUGUUGGAGAAAAGACGGUAUAGUCCAGUGUAGUCGGAAAGGGAUAUGUCUAUUGAAUUUAUGAGCAUCAAUUCCAGCAUUAGAUCCUCCCAAGAACCAUUAUAUCCUCAAAGAGUCUCUCCCGGAGUCCUCAAUCCCCGACAGUCUUCAAAAUAUCGGACAACCCUAGUUUAUUAAAUCUCAGCCUCUGAAACUCAAUUUUCUUUAGAUGAGAGUUCACUUUGUUCUUCAGAUUCAAAGGCUGAAAUAAGGAAAAAGACAGAAAUAUAGCAUUGUUGGAACCUCAACAAAUCCAAACCCAUCCCUGAGGUACAUUAAGUUUGAUACAUUCACUCUUGCAGUGGAACGCGAGCUUCCAGUCAAACGGCUUAUUAGUCAAGAGCUAUUGAUCAAUAGCGGACUUGCAGAGGUGGACAUCUUUAGCUUUCCUUCAAAUAUUAGGUUUGCAAGUGGAUAAUGGUAGUUUAUAUAUGUUAAUCUUCAUUUCAUCUGCUCGUAUUAUCUAUCAUUCAUUAGUCAAUUAACGGUGAUAUUCAACAGUUACUUCGACACUCCUUAAUCCUUGCCAAAAUUUGAUAUGAUUGCAAUACCUGAUUUUGCUGCUAGAGCCAUGGAGAAUUAUGGUUUGGUUACUACCCAGGAAAAUUCUUUACUCUAUGAUGAUCAGCAUUUUGCUGCUGCUAACAAACAGUGGGUGGUUUUCUUUUCAAAAAAUUGUUUUUGUCUAUGUGGCUCAAGAUCCCCAAUCUCAAAUUCAAAUCCAGUGUUUUCUAUUAAUAUUCGGAGGAUAUAAAAUAUUUCUUACAUUCUUUAGUUGCUUAGGUUGAAAUUACUAUAGCUCAUGAACUAGCACAUCAAUGGUUUGGCCAUCUUGUUACAAUGAAGUGGUGAACCAAUUAUGGAUGAAUGAUGGUUUUGCAACACAAUUUUCUGCAUAUACAGAAGCUAAAGCUUGCACUGGAAAAUGUCAAAAGAGAGUAUGAAAACUUGGUAGCCACUAGAAGAUACUACAUAUUGAAUUAUAAUGUCAAUUAUAACAAGGAUGUUAAAAUAGAGAAAAUAAGGGGAGGAGCUUUUAUGGUGAAGGUCA